ensembl:lncRNA
GCCUGGGAAGGCGAGGGGCUGGAGCUUCAUUGCACACGGAGCCUGGAAAGGCGAGGGGCUGGAGCUUCAUUGCACACGGAGCCUGGAAAGGCGAGGGGCUGGAGCUUCAUUGCACACGGAGCCUGGAAAGGCGAGGGGCUGGAGCUUCAUUGCACACGGAGCCUGGAAAGGCGAGGGGCUGGAGCUUCAUUGCACACGGAGCCUGGAAAGGCGAGGGGCUGGAGCUUCAUUGCACACGGAGCCUGGGAAGGCGAGGGGCUGGAGCUUCACUGCACACGGAGCCUGGAAAGGCGAGGGGCUGGAGCUUCAUUGCACACGGAGCCUGGAAAGGCGAGGGGCUGGAGCUUCGUUGCACACGGAGCCUGGAAAGGCGAGGGGCUGGAGCUGCGUUGCACACGGAGCCUGGAAAGGUGAGGGGCUGGAGCUUCAUUGCACACGGAGCCUGGAAAAGCGAGGGGCUGGAGCUUCACUGCACACGGAGCCUGGGAAGGUGAGGAGGACGACAGCAGAGACCCCAUGGAGACAGGUAUGUGCAUGAGUCAGCAGCUUCCCACUCCUCAUCCCUCCAUCCCCCCAAACACACACAAAUCACACAGCAGCAGGGUUUCCCAGCGUAAAUAAUGUGGGGAUAUUCCAGAAAUAUUCCAGAAAAAGACACCCCUGUAGGGUGGGCUUUAGGCUGGCCUGACAAUGGGCUUCCUACCCAGUCUUUCUACGGCAAAGCCCAGCACUUGACAAGUCCUGCUUUUGAAUGCAGACUCCUUGUGAGCUUCCUAUCUCCUCAGUCUUAGUCUCUUUAAGACUGCUAAGGAUAUUGUGUAUUGGGAAGACUUUCAACAUGAACAAUAAAGACCAACGUAAAUUAGAAAAAUGACCUGAGAAGAAAUAGAAACACAGAGAAACGAAGAGCAUUCUGGAACCUUGUUAGAACAUUCCUAGAACAAUAACAGAAUGCUUCAAGAAAUAGCCCAAGAAAAGGUUAUCAGGAGAUAAAAUCACAAUAGAUUAAAGUUACUGCGGGCUCUUUGAUUCUUACUUUUGGAGAAGUCAGCCUAAGAAAUCUACCCAGAAACCCAUGUGGAAGACACACAAAGGUAGAUGCACAGCCAGCCCUGAGCUGUGUGGCCACCCCAGUGUCAGACACGUGAAUGGAAAUGGAAUUCCAGCCUAGGUGAGCCUUCAGACAGCUCCACUCCCAGGCUCUCUCACCAUGACUCGAUGAGGAGCCACUCAGCUGGAUUCAAUGAACCCACAGAACCAAAGACAAUGAUAACAUGUUUUAAGAAAAGUAAAGUUUAGGCUGGGUACGGUGGCUUACACCUGUAAUCCCAGCACUUUGGGAGGCUCAGGCUGGUGGAUCACUUGAGGUCAAGACCAACCUGGCCAACAUGGUGAAACCCCGUCUCUACUAAAAAUAGAAAAAUUAGCUGGGUGUGGUGGCAGACACCUGUAGUUCCAGCUACUCGGGAGGCUGAGGCAGGAGAAUGGCGUGAACCCGGGAGGCAGAGCUCGCAGCGAGCCGAGAUCUGGCCACUGCACUCCAGCCUGGGCGACAGAGCGAGACUCUGCCUCAAAAAAAAAAAAAAA